CCUGGACACAGGUGCUGCAUGGCCGUCGUCAGCUCGUGUCGUGAGAUGUUGGGUUAAGUCCCGCAACGAGCGCAACCCUUGUCAUUAGUUGCUACGAAAGGGCACUCUAAUGAGACUGCCGGUGACAAACCGGAGGAAGGUGGGGAUGACGUCAGGUCAUCAUGGCCCUUAUGGGUAGGGCUACACACGUCAUACAAUGGCCGGGACAGAGGGCUGCCAACCCGCGAGGGGGAGCUAAUCCCAGAAACCCGGUCGUAGUCCGGAUCGCAGUCUGCAACUCGACUGCGUGAAGUCGGAAUCGCUAGUAAUCGCGGAUCAGCUUGCCGCGGUGAAUACGUUCCCGGGUCUUGUACACACCGCCCGUCACACCAUGGGAGCGGGUUCUGCCAGAAGUAGUUAGCCUAACCGCAAGGAGGGCGAUUACCACGGCAGGGUUCGUGACUGGGGUGAAGUCGUAACAAGGUAGCCGU
rnacentral:rRNA from 1 species